rfam:Heligmosomoides polygyrus genome assembly, scaffold: HPBE_contig0003416
GUGCCGGUGGUGUAAUGGCGUAGAGCAUUCCCGCCCGGUUAGAGGGAGGUGCGGGUUCGAGUCCCGCCUGGCGCU